UACGUAGGGUGCAAGCGUUAAUCGGAAUUACUGGGCGUAAAGCGUGCGCAGGCGGUUGUGCAAGACAGAUGUGAAAUCCCCGGGCUUAACCUGGGAAUGGCAUUUGUGACUGCACGGCUAGAGUGUGUCAGAGGGGGGUAGAAUUCCACGUGUAGCAGUGAAAUGCGUAGAUAUCAGGAGGAACACCGAUGGCGAAGGCAGGUCUCUGGGCUGACACUGACGCUCAUGCACGAAAGCGUGGGGAGCAAACAGG
rnacentral:rRNA from 1 species